rnacentral:rRNA from 1 species
GACGAACGCUGGCGGCGUGCUUAACACAUGCAAGUCGAACGGAAAGGCCCUGCUUUUGUGGGGUGCUCGAGUGGCGAACGGGUGAGUAACACGUGAGUAACCUGCCCUUGACUUUGGGAUAACUUCAGGAAACUGGGGCUAAUACCGGAUAGGAGCUCCUGCUGCAUGGUGGGGGUUGGAAAGUUUCGGCGGUUGGGGAUGGACUCGCGGCUUAUCAGCUUGUUGGUGGGGUAGUGGCUUACCAAGGCUUUGACGGGUAGCCGGCCUGAGAGGGUGACCGGCCACAUUGGGACUGCGGUACGGCCCAGACUCCUACGGGAGGCAGAAGUGGGGAAUAUUGCACAAUGGGCGGAAGCCUGAUGCAGCAACGCCGCGUGCGGGAUGACGGCCUUCGGGUUGUAAACCGCUUUCGCCUGUGACGAAGCGUGAGUGACGGUAAUGGGUAAAGAAGCACCGGCUAACUACGUG